AAUUCUUGAGAGUUCGCGCCUUUUUAUUUCUUUUUUCUUUUUUUCUCCUUCUUCCUUUGCACUCUAUACCCGUGACCUAGGGAUUUGGAAGUACCACAGGUAAGUUUAUCAUCUUCGACAACCCCACCUGUUUCUGGUUUCCUAGUUGAGUUUUAAAAAACUCUUGAACAAUUGGUUGCAUCUCGGGGAAGACGGUGGAGUUUUCUCGCGAUAUGUCAGCAUCAAAGGUCACAUGGAAGGGAAUAAUAAGUCGACCCAUUCAAGUUGCAAGGAACCCCAAAACUACCACAGGAAUGGGGUGGGAUGAAAUCACAGGUAGGUGGCUUCGACGAAAGUGAAGAUGAUGGGGUCUAACCAAGGCUCCUAAGUUUCCGCAACGAUACGCCCACGAGCAAGGAGCUGGACGGUGUAUGCUCACCAGCAUUUCCGUCUCUCGUCUCUUGAUUUGCAGGUAGCCAACCUCGCUCUGUGCCUUUGGGUUUUGACUCUAGAAUUACGAGGGUGUCACGAGUUUUCAACGGUGGGGACAGAUUGAUACCUGCAGCAGCAUCUUUCGUUCUUAAGGGUGAUGCGCAUGUUGAGAAGGUUGGAGAAUGAGGGAGGGCUGUCGUACUUUUAUCUUUGAUUGCAACUUGGUCGGGCGAGAUUCCCAGAGCCGUGGAGGCGUAGCAGUUUUGGGUGGUACAUGGGUAUGUACAUGUUGGAAGGCCUGCCGAGAACAAACACGAAGGGUCAGCACUGGAUUCUCAUGAAAUUCUCAAGGUUCACGAUUUUAGAAGCGUGGCAACUGCUGCCAAAUUCCCUCUUCGCGGAUCAGUCUGGGUGCACGUCCAUGGCAGCACUCUGUGCAGGAGGGUACUGGUAGCGAUACACUGUAUUUAGAUUGCGCUCCGCGUAUCAAAUGUCUUCUACGAACAGGCUUUAAGGGAGGCAAGUCACUGAUCCGUGUACCCCGGAAUUUCAGUGUAGUCAGUGUUUCUCAUGCUGAUUCAUAGUCUCCAUACAUAUCUGUUGGUAUCAAAACGGGGCUAAUGAUCAAGAAGGCAAGUAAUUAUCUCAGGAGGUAGCACACGUCUCUGCCGAAGUCACA